UACGUAGGGGGCAAGCGUCGUCCGGAUUUAUUGGGCGUAAAGAGCGUGUAGGCGGCCAGACAGGUCCGUUGUGAAAACUGGAGGCUCAACCUCCAGACGUCGAUGGAAACCGUCUGGCUAGAGUCCGGAAGAGGAGAGUGGAAUUCCUGGUGUAGCGGUGAAAUGCGCAGAUAUCAGGAAGAACACCCGUGGCGAAAGCGGCUCUCUGGGACGGUACUGACGCUGAGACGCGAAAGCGUGGGGAGCGAACAGG
rnacentral:rRNA from 1 species